GGGCCUGUGGUCUAGCGGUUAUGACAUCGCCUUUACACGGCGAGGAUCGAGGGUUCAAUUCCCUCCGGGCCCA
rnacentral:tRNA from 1 species